rnacentral:rRNA from 1 species
GCUAACUCUGUGCCAGCAGCCGCGGUAAUACAGAGGGUGCAAACGUUGCUCGGAAUUACUGGGCGUAAAGCGCGUGUAGGCUGACAUGCAAGUCGGGUGUGAAAUCCCAGGGCUCAACCUUGGAACUGCACUCGAAACUGCACGUCUUGAGUACUGGAGAGGGAAGCGGAAUUCCGGGUGUAGAGGUGAAAUUCGUAGAUAUCCGGAGGAACACCAGUGGCGAAGGCGGCUUCCUGGACAGUAACUGACGCUGAGACGCGAAAGCGUGGGGAGCAAACAGGAUUAGAUACCCGAGUAGUC